rnacentral:rRNA from 1 species
UACGGGAGGCAGCAGUGGGGAAUAUUGCACAAUGGGCGCAAGCCUGAUGCAGCCAUGCCGCGUGUAUGAAAAAGGCCUUCGGGUUGUAAAGUACUUUCAGUCGUGAGGAAGGUGUUAAGGUUAAUAACCUUAGCAAUUGACGUUAGCGACAGAAGAAGCACCGGCUAACUCCGUGCCAGCAGCCGCGGUAAUACGGAGGGUGCGAGCGUUAAUCGGAAUUACUGGGCUAAAGGGCACGCAGGCGGUUAAUUAAGUUGGAUGUGAAAUCCCCGGGCUUAACCUGGGAAUGGCAUUCAAGACUGGUUAGCUAGAGUCUUGUAGAGGGGGUAGAAUUCCAUGUGUAGCGGUGAAAUGCGUAGAGAUGUGGAGGAAUACCGGUGGCGAAGGCGGCCCCUGGACAAAGACUGACGCUCAUGUGCGAAAGCGUGGGGAGCAAACAGGGAUUUAGAUACC